AUUCCUCCAUUGUUUAAUAGCAGCUCUAUCUCCUUGUGAUAAUUAGGGACAAUUACCCCUUUAGGUCAGUGACUUCUCUAUGUUUCUGCUAGUUUCUUGGAGUGAGUUCAAAGUGCCCAGGCAUUAUCGAGAGGCUAAAAUCUAUUGAGGCUUUUGCUAGCACCAGCUGGAAAAGUUAACCAUUUGGAUAACCAGGAUCUCCAAAAACCUUUGCAGAGUUCAGUGUUGCAAGGACCAGAAGCAUGGGUUAAGAAAAGUGAUGGUAAACAGAGAUUGAAUUUGUCUGCUGGGGAACGUAGAAGCAAGUUUUGCAUCAUCUUGGAUAACAGACCAGAUUAUCUGCCGUGUUUUCUCAUUACUUUAUAAAGCAAGUACUGAUUGGGUGAAGAAGGAGUUGUCUCCUACCCUUUGCAAUUCCUGUAAUAUGCUCACUCUUUGGGAAAAUGAUCUUGGAACCAGUGACUCCCGAUGCCAUGUGUGAAUCAUAGCACUAGGAGAUGUGUUGCAUGCCUGUGAAUUAUACCCCAAGUGUGACAGACGAUGACUAUUUGGAGGAUGCCAAAUAGCAGUUGCCGUAGCAACAAUAACCAGGGGAUGCUUCUCCGAACUUCUGCCUCCUCUCUGCCCCAUCAUUUCCCCUGUUUUGAGAGUUAGAUAACGUGGUUACUGGAAUUAGUCGAAGCUGGUUCCCACCCCCAGCCCCCACCCAGCAUAAUGAAAGAGAGAAAACUUAGAAAUGUCUGCCUUCUUCUUACUAUCAGGGGAAAUUCAGCAUAUCUCUGCAGUCAAGACUGAAAGGAGGGAGACUCAGAGGGCAAAGAGCUGUGCGCUCUCAUACUAAUAAAUGCUCGGUGGUGGGAAAAUUAAUUGUCAGAACUGCUCCUGCAAACCACUUGUGAGGAAUGAAAAAAAUCAUUGUUGAAUUUCCACACGUGGGCUAAAAGAACAGUAUGUAAAUUGGAUUGCAAGAUGCUGUGUUCUGUGAGUGGAAAUUUCUGGUCUCUUCUGGAUCUGACAUGGCAGAUUUAAUUUUACUUUCUUAAAAAAAUAGGAGUGUAAUCUAGACAGGGAGAAGGAAAAUUUCUUUUAAUUACCUAUGACUUUAUUGAUAUGUACAGCCCCUUCCCCAAAUAAAUAUUCAGAUUAAAGCAGAGAAUGAAGUUUAAGGAAAAUUCUAUUUGCUAAGAGCGGAGUGGAUUUCUUCAAAGGAAAAGAAGCUUAAGCUUCAGGGCCCCUUCUAAGGCCCUGAAUCUAAAUUUGCAUUUGUAAAUAUAUUACAAUUCUUCUUUAAAAUCCACUCUCUGAUUAUAUACACUUUGAGCUCCACAAAUUCUCGAUCCACCUCUCAGGAGAAGGCAAAAUGUAAGUGAUUUAUUUGAUUGUAUGUUUUGCUAUUGCAUCACUCUUUAUGACAUUCAAAUUUCUCACCUUGUAGUUCUAUUUUGAGUACUCAUAUCUGCUUUUACUUUUUCUCCUCUUGCUUUGGGAGAUAUUAUAGAUCUUCCGCUAGUCUUAAGCUUGCACACGUUUAAACAACAAUAUCAAAAAACGUGUAGUUUACAUGCAUCAUUGUACUUUCAAAACUACUUAAUACAGUUUUGAGUAGAAAUUGAAAUGGUUCAUAGUAGAAAAUAGAUAGAACAGAUCAAGAGUUAUUUUAAAAUAGUUAAUUUAUCUGCUAACCAUGUCAUUCAGAGUCUAUUCUAUGUAAUUUCUGUGGGAAACAUCAAUUUCUGACUGGAAGAAGUUUUUGUAUACUCUUAACAAUAAAUAUAAUUAAAUAGGUGCUCAAUGCAGGUUUCUUUAGAAUUUCUUUUCCAUAUCUUUUGAAUGAAUGGUUUUCAUCAUAUAUAUGCCGAUAACGUUUGAAGAGUAUGUCCCACAGUAGUUUAGGGGUUUAUAGCAAAUAAACAGUAUUUUAUAAAUAAUAUUAGAAAUUUUUAGUAAUUAUUUAAAUUCAGUAUUCAUGGUAGCUCUGGAAGAAUUUUGAAAGGUAUAGUAAAACUGACAAGUCUUUUUACUCCUACUAAUUACAUUUAUCACCAUUCGCCUUUUAUCGAAAUAUCUAGUUCCUCACUGAAAGAUAUCCUCUUGAGAAUAGGGUCUAUAUUUUAACUUCAUAUCUUGAGAGCACAGUAGGUUGAACCUAAUAGGUUCUAGUGUAUAUUUUUCCAGUUGGAUCUGACGUUAAUCAAUGAGUUUUUCAAGAACUUUGCUCUCAGCCCCUAUGGCUGAUAAAGCUAGUAAUGUGAAUCCCAUAGUAGAUACUACUGGGAAUUUUUACCUUUACAAAAAUAUUUAAAUAUUUUAAAACACAUAAUAUAUUCACAUAAUUCAAAAUUAAAAAAAUACAAAUGGAAAAAGAACAUUGAAAAAGCUCUCCUUCCCACUUCAUUUUCAGAGAUAUUUUAGGCAUAUACAAACAAAAAUAUACACAUUCUUCUUUGCAUAGUAUGCAAACGAUGUAGUCUCGAUUGUUUUCACUUAACACCCUUGUCCAUAUCUUCGAAGAAACAGACAAAAAACUGUUCUCAUUCUGUAUCAUGGCUACAUUGCAUUCUAAUUUAUGUAUAUAUAUGUAGUUUAAUUUAUUAAACUGGUGUUUUGUUGAUGGAUGUUAG
rnacentral:lncRNA from 1 species